AACAUAUAAGGCAGUCUCAAUUGAUAAUAUCAAGUUUUUAAAAAUGAAAAAUUAACCACAAUUUUAAUUUAAAAUAAGAAAAAAUAUUGAUGCAAAUAAUUUAAAUUAAAGAAAUAUCCUUAUUAGAAUAAAAUUUGAGUAAAAUUUAUUAGUAAAAAUCAAACUCUUCAAUUUUCAAACUUGAAAGAAAAUUAAAAUUAGAACAAAAAAAUUCUUAAAAAUCAUUAAUUAGUUAAUAUAUAAAGUGAUAUAUUAGUUGUUGACGCGGUUCUUCGGCAACAGGUAAUUAAGAGAAGAAGAGAAAGAGAUUAGUACUUAAAAGUAGAACCGCCGCAGAUAUGAAAUCUUUGUGAGAAGAACUAGGUGACCCUAAACACGUUUUUUAAGUGGUUCGAAGGUUAAAAUCCUUCUACUCCACUAGUCAAUAUUAUUGAUCUUUUCUGGGUAAUUGGUUUACGAAAUAUAUAGUUCUUACAAGACUAUUUUUUCCAACCCCUAUCAAUUCCCAGGGUCUCCAUAUUUAUAGGAGAAGGCACCUGGAAAUUGGUAGGGAGGUCAUCCCGUGACCUUACCAUUUGUCAUAUCAAGUCUGUGAUAUUCAUGAUUACUUCCUAAACCUGACACACAAGUGUGGUCUAAUCAGUAUGGAAGGAGAUAAUGGGCCGCACGGCCCAACCCAUCCGUGGGUGUCUGAAUACGCACGUUCCUGCGGCGUGUCCGAGAAGUCAGGGGGAUAUCGGACACGUGAUGGCAGGAUUAUGCACGUUUAUCUUGCGUGUUGACCUCCCAUAGGGUCAGAGCUUCCUGAGAAGCUCGCUACCGGAGCAAUCCAUAACCCGAGCUGAUCCUUCAGUGGUCGUCGGAUGUUGUUCCCAGCUCCCGGUGCAACAAGGGGGAGCUGGAAACAGGACCCCCUCGAGCUAGAAAGGGCCCGUCCUGAAGAUAAAGCCUCUGGCCUGUGGGAGCCUCGGGCUAAAUCAUGUUUAGUCCGAGGAUCGUCCUGCUAAACAGCCCGUGGGAAAUCCAGGGCGUACAUUAGUCCUUUUAGAUUUGUACUAAAAAUAAAUUUCUAUUAUUUCUUAAUAUUUAAAAAGGAAAUUUAUGUCCAAUUAUCAAAAUAUAUAUUUGAUAAUAAUUGAUUAAUGAAAAUGAGUGCUAGUGAAAAAUAAAAGGUGUGAAUAGCGUUGAAUAAAUAAAGUUGUGUUUCUUUAUAAAAACAAGCAAAGCAAUUUUUUUUAAAACAUUACAAAUGGUUUUUUCUUUCAUUAUUAUCUUUUAAUUUUUUUCAUCUGCUCUGUUUAAGGACUAAUCAUGUUUUUAUAUGAAGUAAAAAAAAUGAACAUACUCACAUAUAAUUCAUGCAUGAAAAUUUGUGAAAUUAUUAUAUGUUGACAAAUAUAUCUCCAAAUCAAUCAUUUGUUAUAUAUUGUAAAUGUUGAGAAACCUCUAACUCAAUCUGUUAAAGCUCGCUCAUAGUGAGCUGGCAGGUGGGUGAGUCUGUUACACAGUUAUUUUAACAACUUCCUGGUUUGUAGGGAAUUUGUUGUAUAUUGUUACAUGUAUUGUUAAGCUUAGUGUAUAUAUAAAGGAGCUCACUCUCGCGAUUCUUCUCAUCCGAGAGCUUUUCAGAUUCAUUUGUUGUCUUCUUUACUUUCUUGUUUUUCUUUUCUCGAGUUUCCUCACUUGGUAUCAGAUUCCAGCCAUCCAUGGCGUCUACUUCUGCUUCUGCAUCAGCCUCUUCUUCUGCAGCCGCUACCGUCUCUUCCUCCGCAAACGCCUCCAGAUCUCGAGUCUCCUUCUCUCCAUUUAACUCCACUCUCAGUGCGACUGUCUCAAUCAAGCUUGACAAAUUCAACUAUACAUCUCCUGGCGAGCUCAAUUGGUUCCAGCCAUUCAUGGAUAUGAUCUUGAGGGUUAUGUGUUUGACACACAAUCCCCUCCCUUUGCCACAGUCCAAAUCACCGAUGAGAAAGGUGAACUGGUCACGAUUAACAAUCUGGAGUUCACUCUAUGGACUCGCGAGGAUCAAUUGCUUCUCAGCUGACUUCUCUCCUCUCUCACUCCUCCGAUUCUCAGCCAAGUGGUUAGGUGCAAGAUCAGUCAUGAGGCUUGGUGUGCCCUAGAGAAUUUGUUCUCUUCCAAGAACAAGGCGAGGCUUUUGCAACUCAAGGAUCAGCUUCAGGCAACCAAGAAAGGCUCCAGCUCAAUUUCUGAGUAUUGUGCACAAAUGGAAAGUAUCUCGGGCACUCCACUACUUGCCAAUUACCGUGUGACGGAAGAGGAUCUGAUUCUCAACAUUCUCAACGGUCUACCAUUGGAAUACGAUGGGGUCAUUAACAUCAUCUUAAGCAAACCAGAGCUGAACCCGCAAGAAGUUCAAUUGAUGCUUCUUAGUCAGGAAAAUCGACUCCAAAAGUGGUCAACUAUUCUGAUUGUGGAUCUUCCAGCUCCGUCAGCCAAUUUUGACCACCAAAAGUCAUGGAUCUAGCAUGAGUCGUGGCCAUGGCUCUCCUGCAUCUCAUGGAAGGGGAAGAGCUCGUGGAUCUUAUAAAGGCAAUACCUCGAAGCCAAUUUUCUAGAUCUGCAACAAACCAGGCCAUAUAGCUGUCACUUGCUGGUAUCAGCAUGAUGAUGAAGUUUUAGCUAGGAGUCUUAAUCAUUCUAGAGAGAGUAGCAACAAGGCUGCGUUUCUUACUUCCAAAGUCCCUUGCCGAUUCCACGUGGUAUGCUGAUAGCGGUGCUACAAACCAUAUCACUACUGAAUUAUCCAACCUCAGUGUUCACAAUGAAUACUGUGGACUGGAAAAGCUGAUGGUAGGCAAUGGACAAGGAAACAUGGGUGCUACUUCUGGAAGGCCAACUUAAGGAUGGGCUCUAUUCUCUAUCUACAUUGUCAUCUUGCUGUUUGUCUAAGGUGUCGUCUACUGGACAACCUUUUUGUUUGUCUAGUGGUCAAUCUUAGUGUAAUAAAACUCCCAAUCCUACUUGUUUUCAGUCUGUAAAAAAUGAUAAUUGUACUUGGCACAAAUGCCUUGGCCAUCCUAGCUAAAUUUUUUUACUUCAGUUGUCUCCUUUGUUGCUUGGUUGUACCACUCGAGUUCAUCAUAAUAAUAACAACUCUUCAUUUUGUCCAACAUGUCAACUUGGUAAGAGUCAUGUGCUUCCUUUUUCACUGUAUGAAAAUAAGUCUACAAAACCAUUACAAUUGGUUCAUUCUGACUAAUGGGGACCUGCUCCUUUUGCAUCUACAGAUGGCUAUAAAUGUUACAUAGCCUUUCUUGACGAUUUUACCUUGUACACAUGGAUUUUUCCACUUAAAAACAAGUCUGAAGCACUCACUAUUUUUCAAACCUUUAAGAUUCAAGUUGAAAAAUACUUUGAGCUACCUAUUAAAAUAUUUCGGAGUGAUUGGGGGGGGGGGGGGUGAAUUUAAGCCAUUUGCCUCAUUUUUAGCCCAACAUGGGAUUGUUUUUUGCAAACCUUGUCCUCACGUUCAUCAACAAAAUGGAUGGGUAGAAAGAAAAGAUCGACACAUAGUGGAAAAUGGUCUUACCUUACUUACCCAAGCUGCCAUGCCUUUGCAUUUUUGGUGGGAGGCUUUUCAUACUGUUGUCUUCCUCAUUAAUAGAUCUCCAACUCCAGUUUUAAAGGGUAAGUCCCCUUUCUUUACCUUGUUUCAUGAGUCUCCUGAUUACAAUUUCCUCAAAGUGUUUGGGUCUGCAUGUUUUCCUCAUUUGCGUCCCUAUAAUAAUCAAAAACUACAAUUUCGUUCCUGUAAAUGUCUUUUCAUUGGGUAUAGUCAGAUCACAAGGGGUACAAAUGUAUGCAUCCAUCUGGUCGUGUAUAUGUCACUGGAAAUUGUGUCUUUAAUGAGUCUGACUUUCCUCACAAUGAGUUGUUCUCUCAGUCUAAAGUUUCUCAUGCAUUUCCUUCUAGUACUCACCGUCCUACUUUUGCUUUGAAGUUGCAUUCUCAGUUAAGUACUAGGUUUAUGCAUAAUGACAAUUAUUCAACUCCCACUGAGCCCAUUCCUGCUGCUGCGCCUUCCUCAUCCUCAGCUGAUCAGUCACAAUCUGAUGCUGUCCCAUUGGGUUCAAAUAGUUCCUUUGCGUGCUCCAUCCAUAGAGCCUAUUACUUUUGCUGCUCAUUUUUCCGAGGAACCUCUUGCUGAUGAGCGCACUCACUCACCUCCUGCUGCCAAUGCUCUUGAAGCACUAGCACCCAUUCCUUCCCUUGCAUCCUUAUCUCCUCAAGAAGCUUCGUUGUCUACUGCUCCUCCUCAUUAUCGACCUGCUGCAACGUCUACUCAUGGGAUGCAAACAUGAGUAAGUUAUGGUAUUGUAAAGCCUAAAGAUCUUACUGUCACAAAGCAUCCUUUUUCUGUGGAAAGUGGUCACUACUACAAAAAAGGUUUUUUAGGACUAGCAUUGCGAGUCCUAAAAAAUACCAUUGAGUGCCUUUAAGUAAGAUUUUAGGACUCCCAACACGAGUCCUAAAAGAAUGUUUUUAGAACUCACAAUGCGAGUCCUAAAAAGUCUUAUUUUUAAUUUUAAAAAAAUUAAUUGAUAGCCAAAGCUCACGCCGGAGCUCCGACAUUAACGGCGGCACCACCACCCCACGGUGGUGGUUCGGGAAAAUGAUCAAUCAUUUAGUGGGUUUUGAUUCCCAAAGCACAAGGAAUGCAUUGAUGGUGUUCGUUUGGGUCGGGGUGGCUCGAGGCCCUCGGAAAAUACUCGGAAGAGUUUGGGAAAAAUAGCACCACCGCGACUUCGAACAACUUUAGGUGGCGGAGGGCGGCGCAUGAGGGGCUGGGCUCGCGGGGGUCGAAGGUCGCCGACCUUCUGCGUCCAUUGCGUCGGCGCGUGUAGGAGAGGGGUGGUCGGAGUGCCGCCGUCCGUGGCUUGGUUGUGGAGCUCGUGAGAGAGAGAGAUAGAGAGAGAAAUGGGGGAAGAGAUCAAGGAGAGAGAGAGAGAGAGAAUGGGUUGUUGUGUUUUAUUUUUCUUUGUGAAGUAAUAAAUAGUAAAAUUUUAGUUAAAAAAAUAGAUGGAAUUUGAAAUUUUUUAAAAUUCAAACUUUUAGGACACAUAUGUUUUUAGGACUCACAAUGCGAGUCCUAAAAACAUUGUCGUAAUUUUAGUUAAGAAAAUUGGAGGGAAUUUAAAAUUUUUUAAAAUUCAAAUUUUUAGAACACACAUAACCUUUUAGGACUCGCAAUGCGAGUCCUAAAAGCAUUCUAAGUGUCACGACCCGAGCCCUAGGCCGUGGUAGAUUUGUAAUAUCCAUAACUUGGGUGGUCAAAGGUCAAACUUUGACCCUCGUUGAAAAAUAGUCUUUAUAAAUGAUCAUUUAAUUUAUAUUAAAUCGUACUAUAAUUAUAAGUUAAAAUAAUGAAAUAAAUCCUAUAAUUAUAUAUAAAAAUAUUAGUAAUAAAAGUAUGAUCACUUAUCAUUAUACCUAAAAAAAUAAUAUUCACACAGUUAUGUAAUCACCAAAUAGUUAAAUUUAAUAAGUCAUAAACACCCAAAAUAAUACUUAGCAUCCACCAUUCCUCAUCCCUAACUAAUUCAUAGCUCAUUCAGAUAUACCGAUCAUUAGAUUCGAAGUCGAAUACAUAUAUAAUGCUCAAAAGAUAAGACAAUGACACGAACUAGAAAUAGGCUAAACACAUUGACUCCAUCGAUAAUCCAUCUUUUCCACGUUCACGUUACUAGGCUCCUGGAAUGGGAGAGAUAGGGGUGAGCUUAUAAAGCCCAGUAGGUAAACAACUAACAACAUAGGACCCAAAAGUUUAAUACAACCCCUGCAUGGUUAGCUUUGAAAACAAAACAUACAUCAACAUGUAUAAACCAAAAUAGAGAAACCAAAAAUAAUCAUAAGAGCAUAGCUACAAGUGCACAUCACACCGUCCACUAGAUCCCUAGUUCCCGUUACCCACCAUAGAAAAUCCAACAUCCUAAACCGGGUAGCCGGACCUGAUAACCACCACAAGGGGAGGCUCAGAACACUUCUUGUAUACAGAUGUUAGGUCUUUACACCUACAGGUGAGUGGACACCUGAUCUACCUAUGAUGACACAGAGACUAGGUCGUGAAACAACAACGUGCACCAAUCAUGACCACUAUGGCUCUCAUCGGUAUAACCAAAUGCAGGUAAACAUGAAAAGAAAGAAACAUAUUCCCUUUAUAUUUUAGAAAAUUGGGCAGCAUAACAGCUACAUUUGAAUAAACCAAAAAAUCAUAACCUGCAUAAAUAAGUGAACAAAAAUAUAUAUUUGGCACUCAGUGCCCUCAGAACAAAUCAGAAAACAUGUAGGUUAAGUUUUCAAUUUUUCAAACAUUUUAUAAAUAUCAAAAUUGGAAUAUGUUGAAUGCAAUUUAAUACGAGUAAAAUAAGUCCAAUAGUCUAGUUGAGUCCCUACCUCUAUAGAAUUUCAUUCGAGCCCAAAGCGACGCUCCUAAGCUUAACGAUGAUCUUAGAAUGAUUUAGUCCGAUUUUAAUAUCACGUUUUUCCUACGUGCACCAAAUGAGCAAACAAUUAUCAUCAUAGCAUUCCUUAUUCAAAAUUGUGUCCAAUGACAUAUAAUAUGACCAUAUUUAAAAUUUCAAGUUCCGAACCUCACCCAAGCGGUGCACAAUAGCGGUUGGUGGCGGUACUGGAAACGUCAACGAAUAUAUGCAUGACAUUUAUUAAAACGAUCCUCUCGAUGAGUACAUCACGAAAGUACAGCUCCUUCGCCCAAAUGACCUCCGGUGUCGCCGAAAAAUGCUUCCAAAGGGGUGAAGAUACCCAAAAUCUCGCCGGAGAAAAAUGGAGAGUUGACCGGAAUGACUUAGUGGGCGACGAUCCUCUCACGAUGCUGAUUCCAACGGUACCACCCACUCGCUGAAUGGUGGUCGGAGUUCGCCGGAAAGUCACCUCAAAGUUUCGACGGCAAAACUUCGGAGUGGUCGUACAGGCGUCCUUGCUCCGAUGGUCACCAAACUUUGGGGUUGCCGUCAUCGUCGGUCGGGGAAGCUGCAGCACUAGCGCGUGUCGAAAAUGGCGCUCCGGCGGUGGUCCGACUGGUUGUGGCCGCGACUGGUUUGGAGAGAAAACAAAGGAAAGAAAAGAAAAAGAAAAAGAGAGAAGAAGAAGAAGAAGAUGUUUCAGAGAGAGAGAGAGAAGAGAAAAGAAAAGAAAGAAAAAAAAAAUAGGAGUACUGACUCCUUUACUCAGGUAGGUCCCACCCACAAUUUUUUUUUUUUUUUUUAAAUAAUACUUUUUUUUUUCUGAGUCUCUACACUAAGUCCUAAAAACAUUAUCGUAAUUUUAGUUAAAACAAUUGGAGGGAAUUUAAAUUUUUUUAAAAUUUAAAUUUUUAGAACACACAUAAGUUUUUAAGACUCGGAAUGUGAGUCCUAAAAUCAUUCUUCGAGUCCUAAAAAUAUUAUCGUAAUUUUAGUUAAAAAAAUUAGAGGGAAUUUGAAAUUUUUUAAAAUUCAAAUUUUAGAACCCACUAAGUUUUCAUUGCGAGUCCUAAAAAUAUUAUCGUAAUUUUAGUUAAAAAAAUUGGAGGGAAUUUGAAAUUUUUUAAAAUUUAAAUUUUUAAAACAUAUAAAAAUUUUUGGGACUCGGAUUGCAUUCUCAUAAUUUUAGUUAAAAAAGUUGGAGGGAAUUUAAAUUUUUUUAAAAUUCAAACUUUUAGGACACACAUAAUUUUUAGGACUCGCGGAUUCUUGCGACUCGCAUCUAAGUGAGCGUAUCUAGGUGAGUGUCCUAAAAAAAAAGUAUCAUUGGUGUUUUUGUAGUAGGGGGACCUCAAGAACCUACAUCUGUGUUGCAAGCUAUGACAGAUCCCCAUUGGCAGCAAGCUAUGGCAUCAGAAUAUCAUGCUCUUGUGGCUAAUCACACUUGGGACUUAGUUCCACGUAGUCCUUUGCUUAACAGUGUUCGUAAUAAGUGGGUUUUCAAGCUCAAAUUCAAUCUGGAUGGUACUAUUCAGCGAUUCAAAGUUCACUUGGUAGCAAAAGGAUUUCAUCAAACUCUAGGGGUUGAUUAUUAUGAAACUUUAGCCCUGUGAUUAAGCCGGCCACCGUUCGCAUUAUUCUUAUUCUUGUUGUGCACUAUGGUUGGGAUGUUCAACAAUUGGAUGUGAACAAUGCGUUCCUCAAUGGAGUCCUUGAAGAAACGGUGUAUAUGACACAACCUGAAGGCUUUGUUCAUCCCUCUUAUCCUCAUCAUUUGUGCAAACUUAACAAGGCUCUUUACGGUCUUAUACAAGCUCCAAGAGCUUGGUUUUAUCGCCUUAAGUCUGCUCUUCUUGUUUGGGGUUUUGUUCCCUCUAAGGCUGAUAUUUUUUUGUUCAUUUACCAUCAUGGCUCUCAACUUUUGCUGCUGUUGGUCUAUGUAGAUGACAUUCUUGUCACAGGAACAAGUUCUUCUCUUAUCACCAAGCUUGUGCAUGAUAUCAAUGGUACUUUUUCUCUCAAACAACUGGGUUCUUUGCACUAUUUUCUAGGCAUUGAAGCCUAUAGAGAUCCCACUGGCAUCUAUCUCUCGCAGUCCAAAUAAAAUAGCUGAUUUUCUUCACAAACUCAACAUGGCAGGCGCUAAGGGCUGAUCUACUCCAGCAUCUCCUCGAACUACCCUGUCUUGAAGUGAGGGGGAACUAAUGGCUAAUCCUAGUAUCUAUAGGAGCAUUAUUGGAGCACUUCAAUACCUUACUAUCAUUAGACCCGAUACCACCUAUCUUGUCUCCAAGUUGAGUCAAUUUUUGCAGUCUUCAACUACAACACAUUGGCAAGCUUGCAAGAGGGUCUUAUGGUAUUUGAAGUCCACUGCAACACAUGGAGUUAGUUUCAAAGCAAGUACAGCCAAAGCACUCACGCUCCAGCGAUUCUCCAAUGCAGAUUAGGCAAGUUGUCCCGAAGAUAGACGGUCUACUGGUGCUUAUUGUUUCUAACUUGGUCCAAGUUUGAUCUCGUGGAGUUCCAAGAAACAGACCGUGGUAGCGUGCUCAAGUACGGAAUCGGAAUAUAGAGCUUUAGCUCAUGUUGGUGUUGAGAUUGUUUGGCUACAUGCUCUCAUUAAGGAAAUGCAAAUACUAGUUCAAUAUACACCAAUAAUCUGGUGGGACAAUCUUGGAGCAGCCUCACUUGCAGCAAAUCCAAUUCACCAUGCUAGAACGAAGCAUAUAGAGAUAGAUGUACACUUUGUGAGAGAAUUAGUGAUUCAGAAGCGAAUUGAUAUUAGAUAUAUCCCAACGUUUGAACAAAUUGCAGAUGUUAUAGCAAAAGGACUUUCAGUGGAGAGGUUCAUUCGAUUUAGAGACAAGCUUCAAGUCACUGAAUCUCCUUUUUGCUUGAGGGGGAAUGUUGAGAAACCUCUAACUGAAACUGUUAAAGCUCAUAGUAAGCUGGCAGGUGGUUGAGUCUGUUACAGAGUUAUUCUAACAAUUUCCUGGUUUAUAGGGAAUUUGUUGUAUAUUGUUACAUGUAUUGUUGAGCUUAGUGUGA